AACCCUUCAGAUUUCCUCUUCAACCUCCAAGGCAAAAUCAAUUGUUUCUCCUCCACUCCUUCCCCAUGUUUAUUAAAUUUUUGCAAUUUCCAAUCAAGAAAUUGAUGGAAUCCGCCUAAUGCUGUAAUGGCAUCAAUUCGUGAUUUUUUCAAUAGCCUUCAAUGAUUUUCCUCUGCUUAUAUAUAUCACGGUUUCAAACUUCUGAUUUACAACAGGUUAGUAUAUUGGUUUGCAAAUCAACUGAUGUUGUCACUCCGUCAAACUCGACGAUUUCGCACCACCUUCCUCUCUGUAGCACAACACUUGCGAUGACGUCCUUAUCCGCCUCCAUCUGACGAAUUGUCCACCUCUUUAUCCGCCUCUGAAAUUCACCUUCCUCCCGUCGAAGCAAGCAGUGCGGUCACUCUUCUCUCUACCAUGCUGAUUUUGAGAGAGUCACAAGACACCGCGGAAAUCACACCUAUGAAGAAAAAAUUGAAGAGAGAAUAUGAAGGAUUCUAGAGAUGGGUUUGGUUUUGUUGGCUCGAUGACUUAAAUGAGGGAGAAGAGACCCUCAAUUUUGUUUUUCGUUUGAGAUGCUGAGAGAAAGUUGGAACGGCUGAAAUGCUCAUUGAAUCAGCUUCCUCACCAGCGAGGCCUUUGAUCUCAUCAUCAAUUCUUCAAUUUUGCAGAUUAGUGGAGGAGAUCUUGGAGUAUCGGCUUUUCCCGUUGCAAAGAGUAUUUUUACUUGGGUAAAGACUAUACUGGUGUGUGAUACAUUCCAAAUACAUUUGGUUUCCUUAUAAUGUCAAAGAGCUCAUAUUUGGUAUUUGGUAUAUCAACAUCUAAUUCUAUACCAUUCUUUUGUUUUAUCUCAUGAUUUAAAAAUAGUCAAGUUAGCUUGCAAUGCUAAGCUACUGCCAAUUAACCUACUGCCAACUAUUGUCGAGCCGGAAAAAUUAUCGAUGGAACUCUGAAGAUGGUGGUUUCAUAUGAACCUUUUCUUUUUAUUUUUCCAAUCUAUUAAUUAUCUGUACCUGAUCAUGAUGUUAUGACAGAAACUGCUGAGGUUCAACUUCAAGCCACUCAAAUUGUUCGGAUUGUCGGUAAACCAAAUGACAUAGUCACGGCAGUCAUGAUUCAAGCCACUUUAUAUGCACGUAUCAACACUGAUUAUCAUCUUUCAUUGCAGAGAAUAAUUAAUUGUGACGAAGUGGUUCCGAGUGGUGCAAUAAUGAUUGUUAGAACAAUUCCGAAGUCGACAUCUAAACUCAGAUAACUUUCUCCUUUUGUUCAGUGAAAUGUUGAUAUGGUCAUAUUUCCUAACUAUGUGAGUAGAAUCAUCAAAUGUAUUUUUCAUAUGUAAUAUUUGGAUUAUAAGUGUCCAAGUUUUUACGCCGUUAUAGUUUUAUUUUUUAGGUUGUUAACUGGCUGCAUAAGUAAUCUGUCUAAAUGCCUGAGAACAUAAUUCUCAGUUGCUACCACCGGGCUGGGAAAUUCAAUCAUCUUUGUCUGAGAACAUAAUUCUCAGUUGCUACACUCCCUAUUGAAACUUUCAGAAUUUCCCUCAUAUUGCUAUAAAAAGGCCAUCUCUGGUGAUUGUAGUGACAAACAUUGCUUUGUAUUUUUAGUUCAUUCAUACCUUUCUUUCACCUUUGUGUUAAUCUCCUCAAAAAGUUCAAAUUCA